rnacentral:misc_RNA from 1 species
GUUGAAGAACGUAGCGAAAUGCGAUAAGUAGUGUGAAUUGCAGAAUUCAGUGAAUCAUCGAAUCUUUGAACGCACAUUGCGCCCGCCAGCACUCUGGCGGGCAUGCCUGUUCGAGCGUCAUUUCAACCAUCAAGCCCCAGGCUUGCGUUGGAGCCCUGCGGCUGCCGCAGCCUCCUAAAAGCAGUGGCGGGCUCGCUAUCACACCGAGUGCAGUAGAUUACUCUUCGCUCAGGGCGUGCAGCGGGUUCCGGCCGUGAAACCCCCUACUUUUAAAGGUUGACCUCGGAUCAGGUAGGAAUACCCGCUGAACUUAAGCAUAUCAAUAAGCGGAGGA